rnacentral:rRNA from 1 species
UACAGAGGUCUCAAGCGUUGUUCGGAUUCAUUGGGCGUAAAAGGGUGCGUAGGCGGAUGGUACAGUCAGAUGUGAAAUUCCCGGGCGUCAACCUGGGGGGCUGGCAUUUGAUACGUAUGAUCUUGAGUGGGGAAGAGGGUCGUGGAAUUCCCAGUGUAGAGGUGAAAUUCGUAGAUAUUGGGAAGAACACCGGUGGCGAAGGCGACUACCUGGCCUGUUCUUGACGCUGAGGCGCGAAAGCGUGGGGAGCAAACGGG